rnacentral:rRNA from 1 species
UACGUAGGGUGCAAGCGUUAAUCGGAAUUACUGGGCGUAAAGCGUGCGCAGGCGGUUGUGCAAGACAGAUGUGAAAUCCCCGGGCUCAACCCUGGGAAUUGCAUUUGUGACUGCACGGCUAGAGUGUGUCAGAGGGGGGUAGAAUUCCACGUGUAGCAGUGAAAUGCGUAGAGAUGUGGAGGAAUACCGAUGGCGAAGGCAGCCCCCUGGGAUAACACUGACGCUCAUGCACGAAAGCGUGGGGAGCAAACAGG